UAGGGAAUCUUCCACGAUGGACGAAAGUCUGAUGGAGCAACGCCGCGUGAGUGAAGAAGGGUUUCGGCUCGUAAAACUCUGUUGUUAAAGAAGAACAUAUCUGAGAGUAACUGUUCAGGUAUUGACGGUAUUUAACCAGAAAGCCACGGCUAACUACGUGUCAG
rnacentral:rRNA from 1 species